rnacentral:rRNA from 1 species
UACGUAGGGCGCGAGCGUUGUCCGGAAUUAUUGGGCGUAAAGGGCUCGUAGGCGGUCUGUCGCGUCGGGAGUGAAAACUCAGGGCUUAACCCUGAGCCUGCUUCCGAUACGGGCAGACCAGAGGUAUGCAGGGGAGAACGGAAUUCCUGGUGUAGCGGUGGAAUGCGCAGAUAUCAGGAGGAACACCGAUUGCGAAGGCAGCUCGCUGGAACGUUACUGACGCUGAGACGCGAAAGCGUGGGGAGCAAACAGG